UACGUAGGGUGCGAGCGUUGUCCGGAAUUAUUGGGCGUAAAGAGCUUGUAGGCGGUUUGUCGCGUCUGCUGUGAAAAUCCGGGGCUCAACCCCGGACUUGCAGUGGGUACGGGCAGACUGGAGUGUGGUAGGGGAGACUGGAAUUCCUGGUGUAGCGGUGGAAUGCGCAGAUAUCAGGAGGAACACCGAUGGCGAAGGCAGGUCUCUGGGCCGAUACUGACGCUGAGGAGCGAAAGCGUGGGGAGCAAACAGG
rnacentral:rRNA from 1 species